UACGUAGGGGGCAAGCGUUGUCCGGAUUUAUUGGGCGUAAAGAGCGUGUAGGCGGCCUUACAGGUCAGCUGUGAAAACUCGAGGCUCAACCUCGAGACGUCGGUUGAAACCGUAUGGCUAGAGUCCGGAAGAGGAGAGUGGAAUUCCUGGUGUAGCGGUGAAAUGCGCAGAUAUCAGGAAGAACACCUAUGGCGAAGGCAGCUCUCUGGGACGGUACUGACGCUGAGACGCGAAAGCGUGGGGAGCGAACAGG
rnacentral:rRNA from 1 species